AGCAGCCGCGGUAAUUCCAGCUCCAAUAGCGUAUAUUAAAGUUGUUGCAGUUAAAAAGCUCGUAGUUGAAUUUCGGGAUUGGCGCAUCGGUCGUGCCUCACGGGGUAUGAACUGGUGCAGUCAAUUUCUCACCUUCUGGAGAACCGCGAUGUCCUUAAUUGGAUGCCGCGGGGAACCAGGACCUUUACUUUAGAAAAAAUUAGAGUGUUUAAAGCAGGCAUUUUUGCUUGAAUACAUUAGCAUGGAAUAAUAAAAUAGGACGGCAUGGUUCUAUUUUGUUGGUUUCUAGGACCACCGUAAUGAUUAAUAGGGAUAGUUGGGGGCUAUUAGUAUUCAAUUGUCAGAGGUGAAAUUCUUGGAUUUAUUGAAGACUAACUACUGCGAAAGCAUUUGCCAAGGAUGUUUUCAUUAAUCAAGAACGAAAGUUAGGGGAUCGAAGACGAUCAGAUACCGUCGUAGUCUUAACCAUAAACUAUGCCGACUAGGAA
rnacentral:rRNA from 1 species